UUCCCUCCGAAGUUUCCCUCAGGAUAGCUGGAGCCAUUAGCGAGUUCUAUAGGUAAAGCCAAUGAUUAGAGGCAUCGAGGGCGCAAUGCCUCGACCUAUUCUCAAACUUUAAAUAGGUAGGACGGUACGACUGCUUUGUUGAGCCGCGCCAUGAAAUCGAGAGCUCCAAGUGGGCCAUUUUUGGUAAGCAGAACUGGCGAUGCAGGAUGAACCGGAAGUUGGGUUACGGUGCCCAACUACACGCUAACCUAGAACCCACAAAGGGUGUUGGUCGAUUAAGACAGUAGGACGGUGGUCAUGGAAGUCAAAAUCCGCUAAGGAGUGUGUAACAACUCACCUGCCGAAUCAACUAGCCCCGAAAAUGGAUGGCGAUUAACCGCGCGACCUAUACCCGGCCGUCGGGGCAAAACCUGGGGCGCGAGCCCGAUGAGUAGGAGGGCGCGGCGAUCGUCACAAAACCUGGGGCGCGAGCCCGAGCGGAGCGGCCGUCGGUG
rnacentral:ncRNA from 1 species